AGAGUUUGAUCAUGGCUCAGAACAAACGCUGGCGGCAUGCCUAACACAUGCAAGUCGAACGGUAACAGGCCGCAAGGUGCUGACGAGUGGCAAACGGGUGAGUAACGCGUGGAUGACCUAUCCCGUGGUGGGGGACAACAGUUGGAAACGACUGCUAAUACCGCAUUAGCUCUAUGGAGGAAAGCCGCAAGGCGCCAUGGGAGGGGUCCGCGUAAGAUUAGCUUGUUGGUGGGGUAACGGCCUACCAAGGCGAUGAUCUUUAGCUGGUCUGAGAGGAUGAUCAGCCACACUGGGACUGAGACACGGCCCAGACUCCUACGGGAGGCAGCAGUGGGGAAUAUUGCGCAAUGGGGGAAACCCUGACGCAGCAAUGCCGCGUGGGUGAAGAAGGCCUUCGGGUUGUAAAGCCCUUUUAGUGGGGACGAUUGUGACGGUACCCACAGAAAAAGCCCCGGCUAACUCCGUGCCAGCAGCCGCGGUAAUACGGAGGGGGCGAGCGUUGUUCGGAAUUACUGGGCGUAAAGCGCGCGCAGGCGGUUAAGUAAGUCAGGAGUGAAAGGCCAGGGCUCAACCCUGGGACUGCUCUUGAAACUACUUGACUGGAGUUAGGUAGAGGGUGGCGGAAUUCCCCGUGUA
rnacentral:rRNA from 1 species